UGGGGAAUAUUGCACAAUGGGCGCAAGCCUGAUGCAGCCAUGCCGCGUGUAUGAAGAAGGCCUUCGGGUUGUAAAGUACUUUCAGCGGGGAGGAAGGGAGUAAAGUUAAUACCUUUGCUCAUUGACGUUACCCGCAGACGAAGCACCGGCUAACUCCGUGCCAGCAGCCGCGGUAAUACGGAGGGUGCAAGCGUUAAUCGGAAUUACUGGGCGUAAAGCGCACGCAGGCGGUUUGUUAAGUCAGAUGUGAAAUCCCCGGGCUCAACCUGGGAACUGCAUCUGAUACUGGCAAGCUUGAGUCUCGUAGAGGGGGGUAGAAUUCCAGGUGUAGCGGUGAAAUGCGUAGAGAUCUGGAGGAAUACCGGUGGCGAAGGCGGCCCCCUGGACGAAGACUGACGCUCAGGUGCGAAAGCGUGGGGAGCAAACA
rnacentral:rRNA from 1 species